AAGCUCAUUUUGCUGCCGAUGACUACGAAGAUGCCGUAGAAGGCGAAUUGCGAAGACGUCCGAAGCACACUGAUGCUCAGUACCCAGUGAUUUUGCUUCACCGAGGUGACGAGUUCAACACAACGUCUUAGGUAUGUACAGGCGUCACACACGUAUAAGUUAUAAUAUAGCGACGACGUAUUCCAUUUAACUUAUGUUAUCCUUCUUGUCCCGUACUCAACUUUGUCAACAUCAACAAAUUUAAUUUUAGGGGCCUUCCAGUGUUGAAGUGGCGCAAGACUGCUUCGUAUGUGUGAUCCAGGCACUCAAGUUGACAUGACAGAAAUAACUGAAAGCAGUCUUUGGACAGGUGCAGAACAUUAGUAUGACGUCAACAAGAGGAGAAGAAACCGAUGAGAACUACUAGCAUGUUUGAAGGAGAUGCAUCCUCUACACUUGAAUACCCAGUGCAACAGCAAACGUUCAUUGUCUUUGAAGCCGCAACUACUGGAAUUGUUCAAUGUGUGUCAGAGCUGCAGUGAGCCAUGCAAGGUUACCACAUCAUAUUGGUCCCAAAAUUUGCAGAGUUCCCCUAUCUCGGACGCAGCUGUCAUUUCUCUUUAUUGCUCUUCCGAUCCUACCUUCUCAGAAAUGAAUAUGGUUCACCAUACACUGCAUGGGCACUGCCUUUCUCUGCUCAUGCUUUCUGUUUCUUAUUCUGUUGAAUAAAUCUUCACUUGAGUUU